CUUAGAGAGACCUUAGAGUAUUUGUGGAAGCUUCAAGCCAAUUUUUCAGCCUUCCUGGUCUGGCAUUUACGUGAGUACCUUACUGCUGCACAGAGUAUGCUUCACCAGGCACUGGACUCCACAAAUGUCAGUAAGGUUCCUGGUGGCUAGGCUGGCAGCAUCGUUUGGCAUUAGGCUGACUUUCCUUCAUACUGCGUCUGACCGCUCACCUCCCAACCUCUGCCUCAAUAUGGAAGGUCCUCCUCAUACACUAAGGUAUGGAUUGUUGGCAUCCUGCAAUGUGAGGAGCUGUUCAUGGACCAGGCAGUUCAUUCCUUCCUCACUGGACCUCACACUCUUCAGACACUGAGCACCCGUACUGCUGUGGAGGACUAUUUGUUUUUCCUCUGCUAUGGUGUACGACUUAACACACCACGUGCUGGGGCAGCAGGUAUUCUACCAUCAGCAGUGCACUCUAGGGUAUCUUGGGGAGGGUUGACCUCUUCAGGUCAGGCUAGGAAUUAAAUGCGUUUCCUGGGUUCUUCUCUUAACGUUAAUUUUCUAUUCUCGUUUGCUUUUAUUUCCCCACUAAAUAUAAACUAAAGGACCUAAACAAAGCUGAAUGAUCAUGAGGUGGCUAAAUGAUCCGUGCGAACCCAAUAUGAAUUUGUAUCCAAGUCAUAUGCAUAAAGCCAUAGUAUCCCUGACACAUUUCCAUAGACCUGCAGAUUCUUUACUUACAGUCUCUCAGUCAGGGUCAAUCCCAUUUCACUUCCAGUAAUUCAGUGGCUGAAUAUGAAAUUGAAUUGGAGCUGGACCCAAGCCCAUUGAGUAAAUAGGGGAAAUGCACAACCUCCUCUCACAGUCCUACAGGCACAGCAACACUCACCCCAAAGAUUACCAAUAGUAUUGCUGUCCCAUCAUAUCAACGGUCAAAACAUAAUAAUCUUGUAAUGGCCCCCAUGCACUGUCCCUUGUCUCAUAAUGAUUCAUUAAAAGUUUUUAGUAAAAAUUAUUGUCAGAGCACCAAU